UAUUUAUACUCUGUAAAACUAUCAGUUUUACAUAAAUAUUUUCAAAAUAAAGGCAGUACUAGCCCUAGUAUCUUUCCAUUCAAAGAUAUAUUUCUGCUUGGAGCCAAUAUUGAAAAUUAUGUCAAUAUUA